GAUGAACGCUGGCGGCGUGCCUAAUACAUGCAAGUCGAGCGAACGGACGAGAAGCUUGCUUCUCUGAUGUUAGCGGCGGACGGGUGAGUAACACGUGGAUAACCUACCUAUAAGACUGGGAUAACUUCGGGAAACCGGAGCUAAUACCGGAUAAUAUUUUGAGCCGCAUGGUUCAAAAGUGAAAGACGGUCUUGCUGUCACUUAUAGAUGGAUCCGCGCUGCAUUAGCUAGUUGGUAAGGUAACGGCUUACCAAGGCAACGAUGCAUAGCCGACCUGAGAGGGGGGUCGGCCACACUGGAACUGAGACACGGUCCAGACUCCUACGGGAGGCAGCAGUAGGGAAUCUUCCGCAAUGGGCGAAAGCCUGACGGAGCAACGCCGCGUGAGUGAUGAAGGUCUUCGGAUCGUAAAACUCUGUUAUUAGGGAAGAACAUAUGUGUAAGUAACUGUGCACAUCUUGACGGUACCUAAUCAGAAAGCCACGGCUAACUACGUG
rnacentral:rRNA from 1 species